CCUACGGGAGGCAGCAGUGAGGAAUAUUGGUCAAUGGGCGGAAGCCUGAACCAGCCAAGUCGCGUGAGGGAUUAAGGCCCUGCGGGUCGUAAACCUCUUUUGCCGGGGAGCAGAGGUCCGGACGUGUCCGGGCCGGGAGAGUACCCGGAGACAAAGCAUCGGCUAACUCCGUGCCAGCAGCCGCGGUAAUACGGAGGAUGCGAGCGUUAUCCGGAUUUAUUGGGUUUAAAGGGUGCGUAGGCGGGCAUUUAAGCCGGCGGUCAAAUGUCGGGGCUCAACCCCGGCCUGCCGUCGGAACUGGGUGCCUUGAGUGGGCGAGAGGUAGGCGGAAUGCGUGGUGUAGCGGUGAAAUGCAUAGAUAUCACGCAGAACCCCGAUUGCGAAGGCAGCAUACCGGCGCCCGACUGACGCUGAGGCACGAAAGUGCGGGUAUCGAACAGGAUUAGAUACCCCGGUAGUC
rnacentral:rRNA from 1 species